UACGGGGGGAGCAAGCGUUGUUCGGAUUUACUGGGCGUAAAGGGCGCGUAGGCGGCGCAACAAGUCACUUGUGAAAUCUCCGGGCUUAACUCGGAGCGGCCAAGUGAUACUGUCGGGCUAGAGUGCAGAAGGGGCAACUGGAAUUCUCGGUGUAGCGGUGAAAUGCGUAGAUAUCGAGAGGAACACCUGCGGCGAAGGCGGGUUGCUGGGCUGACACUGACGCUGAGGCGCGAAAGCCAGGGGAGCGAACGGG
rnacentral:rRNA from 1 species